CACUCUAGAGAGACUGCCAGGGAUAACCUGGAGGAAGGUGGGGAUGACGUCAAAUCAUCAUGCCCCUUAUGCUUAGGGCUACACACGUGCUACAAUGGGUAGUACAGAGGGUUGCCAAGCCGUAAGGUGGAGCUAAUCCCUUAAAGCUACUCUCAGUUCGGAUUGUAGGCUGAAACUCGCCUACAUGAAGCUGGAGUUACUAGUAAUCGCAGAUCAGAAUGCUGCGGUGAAUGCGUUCCCGGGUCUUGUACACACCGCCCGUCACACCACGGGAGUUGGAGACGCCCGAAGCCGAUUAUCUAACCUUUUGGAAGAAGUCGUCGAAGGUGGAAU
rnacentral:rRNA from 1 species